rnacentral:rRNA from 1 species
CGGCACGGGUGAGUAACACGUAUCCAACCUGCCGUCUACUCUUGGACAGCCUUCUGAAAGGAAGAUUAAUACAAGAUGGCAUCAUGAGUCCGCAUGUUCACAUGAUUAAAGGUGUUCCGGUAGACGAUGGGGAUGCGUUCCAUUAGAUAGUAGGCGGGGUAACGGCCCACCAAGACUACGAUGGAUAGGGGUUCUGAGAGGAAGGUCCCCCACAUUGGAACUGAGACACGGUCCAA